AAACCCCACAACCCUUGCUUGCUUUUUCUUUAUUCUGUUUCUGUUGCUUUUUUUUAUUGGAUUCGGAAGUUGUACUGCGCUGCGCAACUAGGUUUCUUUGCUGAAUGAUGGAAUUGCUGUGUCCAGUCGUGCUUCCGAAAGUUGUAUUCUACUGGCAGACUGUUUAGUGGCAAAUGUGUUGGGGCAGAUCAUGAGGAAAAAAACUGGACAGAGGAUGUGGUAGGCGAAGGAUGGCAGCGGUUCAAGUUCUUUGUCAUUUAGUAUGUGCGUUACUCUUGAGCCAUCCGUAUUACUGCAAACAACAGCGUAUGAUCGAUUUCUUUGGCCAGAAGAAACCAAGACUCCGCGAAAUGAUUCAUGCAAGUGAAGGCUAGAUGUUUAAGUGAGGUAAUUGACAUAGUUGCAGAAUAAGGGAAGGGAAUGGUAUUUAUAAGAGGGCUCCAGGAUAGCAUGUAAGUCAGAGAAGAACCUUCUGCAGAAUUGAUCGAAUCUAGGUGUCGAUGAACACCAAAUUUUUGGAGAGUUUUGUAUGGAUUAUUUUCUUUAAAUCAAGGAGGGUUGUGGGUAA